UAACGUAAGACUAGUGUUGCAGUGGCAUGUCCCAUUUAAACUGAUUUGACCCCUCUUGGCUUUCUAACACUACUCAAAGGUCUUAAUUUAGUAGGCCUAUUAGGAGCCGUGCGUAUCUACUCACCCAACAUAAUAAACAAUAAAAGGUCAAUGUAAUUACGGUGGCCUCGGGUCCAAGAACGAAACCUUUUCGAUCUGAGUCCACCAAGGAUUUCCAUUGGGAAUUGUUUAUGCCUGUAACCACCAGCAGGGGACGUGGGAGCACAGAGGUUUGUCUCCCCUCUCCUCAACAACACUCGAAGAAUACGCAUUGUUCUCUUAAACAGCAUCCAGAAAAGUGCUACCUCGUGAGGAAAUUGACUAUGUGUGCUGAGCUGCUGUUGUUGGCGAUGGGUGCUGCAGUCAAAGCAGGCAGGGAAAAAACAGUUUAGGAGGUGGAGAACUCAAAUACAUGAUAG
ensembl:lncRNA